CAUUAUGUAGCUUAAACAAAAGCGUUGGUCUCUUAAACCAAAUUAUAGUAAAUAUACUCUUAAUGA
rnacentral:tRNA from 1 species